AUGCAUGUAGAUACCAAGAUUAGUCACUACUUAGUAUGUCAUAGUAAACUAAUUCAAGCCUGAAAGCUAUUACAUGUUUCUUUUGUCAAUCCUCGGGCCUGUUUACAUGGAGAGGUGGCGAAUACAAUGUACCUUAAAUGGUAUGAUCCUUGUGCAAAGUAGAACUAAGAAGAGGUGGUACAAAUGCAUGUAGAUACCAAGACUUGCAUGAUGUAAAUACUCAAAGUACUUCAUACAAUAUAGUGAAACUAGUUAAUUUAUUUGGGUUUUACAGCACACCAACACAGUAUAGGUUAAAAAAACCAAUUCAAUUCAAAUCUGAAAGAUAUCUCAUGUUUCUUUGUCAAUCCUCAGGCCUGUUUACAUGGAGAGGUGGCAAAUACCUUAAAUGGUUCGAUCCUCAUGCCAAGUAGGACAGGAGAGGUGGUACAAAUGCAUGUAGAUACCAAGACUUGCAGGAUGUAAAUACCUAAGUUUGUCAUACGUAGUAAAAACCAGUUCAAAUCUCGUGAUUCUUUGUCAAUCCUCAGGCCUGUUUACAUGGAGAGGUGGCGAAUACCUUAAAUGUUAUGAUCCUCGUGCCAAGUAGGAUAGAUUAGGAGAGGUGGUACAAAUGCAUGUAGAUACCAAGACUUGCAUGAUGUAAAUAUUUAAGUAUGUCAUACAUAGUAAAACCAGUUCAAAUCUGAAAGCUAUCUCAUGUUUCUUUGUCAGUCUUCAGGCCUGUUCACACGGAGAGGUGGCGAAUACCUUAAUUGGUAUGAUCCUCAUGUCAAGUGAGACAUGAGAGAUGGUAUAAAUGCAUGUAGAUACCAAGCUUUGCAUGAUGUAAAUUCUUAAGUUAAAUUCUUAACGUACAGUUAUGUCUCCUAAACUGCUCUCUAAAUUUUCAAAUAAUUUUACAUGCACAUCACCAUCAUGAGCGCAAGGAACACGUGCAUUUACAUGUUACUUUGACCUUCACCUUGACUUGAGAUACUUUUUAAAGUCAGUGUCUUCAGAAAAUAAGCAAUUUAGGUGCCGUACGAUAUGGAGGUAUUCAUCACCUUCAGUGAUAGCUCUAGUUAUUUAAAUUUUAAAGGUUUAAUGACUGAAAUUGAAUCAUUUGAUACCAUUAAUGGCAUAAAAAGUUUAUUCAAUGAGUACUGUCUUGUUCUUAUAAUGCGAUCUACUUUUGUCAAUACGAUUGCUGUAGAACUGAUUGGACCUACAUAUUUACAAUAGUUUAACUGUUGUUCUGUUUCCUUUUUACAGUCCCAAUAUUAUUGCGCAUUCGGUAGCAAAGAUGUUGACACCACAUGUCGUCUGAUGAUGACUUUUACGGAUCGAAUAAGGUUUGGUCAUUGUAUUCCCUGAAAGGAAUGAGAGGAGAAAAGGAACUGGAAGACCUGGCUAUCUGCAGGCCAAUGCUGGCUGCAGGUCAAUAUUGAAUGCUCUUAUGAAAACUCAUAAGACAAUAACAAAAAAAAGAAGCUGAGGAUGCUGUUUUUAAAACAUGCUCCAUUCAAAAAAGGUGGAUUGAAAUUUAAGAAAGGUGUGACGGUUGCGUCUGCUGCAGGCAGGGAGGAUUUGACGGUCAGCCAGAGGAUUUGGAGAUAUACUGUAAUGUCUUUAAUGUGGACUUGCGUGUGAUUUAAGUUUUCACAAGGGUUUUAGUGUGUGUGAAAGUAUGUCAGUUUUCAAAAUUGAGCUAUGUCAAUUUGCUCAAACUACAUAACUCAAAGAACUUUGAAGCGGUCUUGUUGACGUCAUGAG
rnacentral:lncRNA from 1 species